AGUGAACGCUGGCGGUAGGCCUAACACAUGCAAGUCGAACGGCAGCACAGUAAGAGCUUGCUCUUACGGGUGGCGAGUGGCGGACGGGUGAGGAAUACAUCGGAAUCUACUUUUUCGUGGGGGAUAACGUAGGGAAACUUACGCUAAUACCGCAUACGACCUACGGGUGAAAGCAGGGGAUCUUCGGACCUUGCGCGAUUGAAUGAGCCGAUGUCGGAUUAGCUAGUUGGUGGGGUAAAGGCCCACCAAGGCGACGAUCCGUAGCUGGUCUGAGAGGAUGAUCAGCCACACUGGAACUGAGACACGGUCCAGACUCCUACGGGAGGCAGCAGUGGGGAAUAUUGGACAAUGGGCGCAAGCCUGAUCCAGCCAUACCGCGUGGGUGAAGAAGGCCUUCGGGUUGUAAAGCCCUUUUGGUGGGAAAGAAAAGCAGCAGGUUAAUACCCCGCUGUUCUGACGGUACCCAAAGAAUAAGCACCGGCUAACUUCGUG
rnacentral:rRNA from 1 species